GGUCGUAAUCAAGCUCUUCCCGAGCUGGGCAAUCAGCAGCCGCCUCCCCUGAGGAGGAGGACCCUGUGGCAACAGUGAUUUCAGAAAAUCUCCCUUCAAGGGCCUCAUCAGCGGAGUGUCCCCAUCUCCUGGGACAUGAUACUAAGAACCACCACCACAAGAACCAUGUAGUCAGCCGGCACCAUCCUGAAAACAAAGAGCCCACCAGUGGCUGUGCUUAACAGAAGAGACCCCAGAGCCAUCCUGGCAUAAAGAGUAGGCCACUCUCCAGCACCAUUUCUAGCUCUUGACAGAGGUGUUUUUUUUUUUUAAUUCUUUUAUUGAAUCACCAUGUGGAAAGUUACAAAGCUUUCAGGUUUAAGUCUCAGUUAUACAAUCACAUGCCUAUUGUCCUUUCAUAUGACUUCAUUGGGGUGGCGUCUGUUAAUCUCUUCUACCCAUUUUUGCAUGAAGUUGCUGGAUUUUUAUUUGUUGAAUUUUUGAGUGCCUCUUAUAUCUUAAAUAUGAACUUUUAUCUAAUAUGUUGUGUGCAAAUAUUUUGUCCCAUUUAGUAGGAGGUAUUUUUAUUUUAGUUUGACAUUGUUUUGAUGUGCAGGAGAUUUUUUUAUUUGAUGCAGUGUCAUUUGUUUAUUUUUGUUUGGUUUUCUUUGCCUCUGUGGUCACCUCAUUAAAUCCACCUACAAGGUCUGUU